GGUUCGAUCAUGGCUCAGAUUGAACGCUGGCGUGUGGAUGCUUUACACAUGCAAGUCGAACGGCAGCACGGACUUCGGUCUGCGGCGAGUGGCGAACGGGUGAGUAAUGUAUCGGAACGUGCCUAGUAGCGGGGAUAACUACGGCAGCAGUAGCUAAUACCGCAUAUUGCCCUUCGGGGAAAGCGGGGACCUUCGGGCCUCGCACUAUUAGAGCGGCCGAUAUCGGAUUAGCUAGUUGGUGGGGUAACGGCUCACCAAGGCGACGAUCCGUAGCUGGUUUGAGAGGACGACCAGCCACACUGGGAUCAGACACGGCCCAGACUCCUACGGGAGGCAGCAGUGGGGAAUUUGGACAAUGGGGGGAAACCCUGAUCCAGCCAUCCCGCGUGUGCGAUGAAGGCCUUCGGCCAGGUACACUUUUGGCAGGGGAAAGAAACGGCACGGGAUAAUACCCCGUGCAACUGACGGUACCUGCAGAAUAAGCACCGGAUAACCGCCGCCAGCAGCCGCGGUAAUACGUAGGGUGCAAGCGUUAAUCGGAAUUACUGGGCGUAAAGCGUGCGCAGGCGGUUCGGAAAGAAAGGUGAAAUCCCAGAGCUUAACUUUGGAACUGCAUUUUUGAACUCACCGAGCUAGAGGUGUCAGAGGGAGGGUGGACCAUGCGUAGCAGUGAAAUGUGCGUAGAUAUGCGGAGGAACACCGAUGGCGAAGGCAGCCUCUGGGAUAACACUGACGCUCAUGCACGAAAGCGUGGGGAGCAAACAGGAUUAGAUACCCUGGUAGUCCACGCCCUAAACGAUGUCAAUCGCUGGUGGGGCCUUCUGGCCUUGGUGGUAGCGCAGCUAACGCGUGAAGUUGACCGCCUGGGGAGUACGGUCGCAAGAUUAAAACUCAAAGGAAUUGACGGGGACCCCGCACAAGCGGUGGAUGAUGUGGAUUAAUUCGAUGCAACGCGAAAACCUUACCUACCUCUUUGACAUGUCUGGAAUCCCGAAGAGAUUUUGGGAGUGCUCGUAAGAGAACCGGAACAUGUGGUGCUGCAUGGCUGUCGUCAGCUCGUGUCGUGAGAUGUUGGGUUAAGUCUCGCAACGAGCGCAACCUUGUCAUUAGUUGUCACAAAGGGCACUCUAGACGAGAUCGUUUACGACAAACCGGAGGAAGGUGGGGAUGAGGGUCAAGUCCUCAUGGCCCCAGGAAGCCACACGUCAUACAAUGGUCGGGACAGAGGGUCGCCAACCCGCGAGGGGGAGCCAAUCCCAGAAACCUGAUCGUAGUCCGGAUCGCAGUCUGCAAUCCUCGACUGCAGGAAGUUUGAAUCGCUAGUAACGCGGAUCGUGAAGUAUGUCGCGGUGAAUACGUUCCGGGUCUGUACACCGCCCGUCACACCAUGGGAGUGGGUUUUACCAGAAGCGCAGUUAGCCUAACCGUAAGAGGCGAUUACCACGGUAGGAUUCCAUGAUCAGUGAAGUCGUAACAAGGUAG
rnacentral:rRNA from 1 species